GUUUAUGUCAUCACAAGGAUGUCAAAAGAAUCUUUUAUAUAAGAUUUAGCGAAUUCAUGUGGCUAUUAGUUAUAUCGAGCAGUCUUCGUCAAAGUCAUUGAAAGCUUUAUAGUAUUGAGGUUCUUCAGACAUGUCAUCUAAGAGACAACGACCAGCUAAUGAAAAUCUCAAACAAGUGAAACAAGCCCGGAGAGAGAAUGACAGGCAAACAUGGGAAAGACAGUUUCCGGUCAACGGACAAGGGACCUUAGUUUUCAACAAAGACACCAAGGUGCCUUUCUUAAUCUCAGUGGAAAACGAAAAGGGACAGUAUGGGCUUUCUGUUCAGAUUGAAAGAGAUCAUGUCGUGUUCAUUAAGAGAAAAGGAGAAGAAAUAAAGGAACUUUCUGAGAUCCACGAAAAAGAAUGUGGCAUAGAAAAAGGCAAGAUUUCAUAUUGGUACAGUUAUGACCGAGACAACCUCGUUCUCAAGUAUGGAAAGGGGUAUCGAAUGAAGGAAACUACCAUUUUAACUCACGACUUUCUUAAAAAUGCAUCUUCAGAGAAGGAAAAGGAAGAAAUACGGAAAAAUUUGUAUCCGUACUUCAAUGCAGAAGAAAAGAAGUACAUCAGAAAAUAUGAAGCAAUAUCUACCGUUUCAAAAGGUAAGUAA